rnacentral:ribozyme from 1 species
GUGUGAUUGCUGCCUUUGUGGCCGCCGGGCUAAUUAUAUUCUUGAUAAUAAAGU